CCAGGGAGAGCACUAAUCUGUUCGUGAGGGAUCUGCCCCCUGACUCAAUCAGUUUCCAACACUGCCACCCUGGGGAUCAAACUUCCACGUGAGUUUUGGAGGGGACAACACAUCCAAACUCCAUCAACCAGCGCCACAGCUGUGGGAACUGUGACAAGCAGAAGACAUGGGUUCUGAGCUCCUUGCCCCGUUUUCUUCAGGCACCAGAAGCCCAUAAACUCAUUCUGGCUAGCACACAGAUCUGUACCUUUGACCUCGGUGUUAUCAACACCAUGCUCUAACCAAGUGAGCUAACCAGCCGGUGCAUGACUGUUUUCAGAUGAUUCAGCUCCAGCUCUGCCCACAUGGCCACAUCACCCCUCCCACACUCACCGACAUCUCCUAGCAACCAGCUCGCCACCUGCAUCCUGCAGCCUGAGGUCCCCAUUGGCUCGGGU